rnacentral:rRNA from 1 species
GAUGAACGCUGGCGGCGUGCUUAACACAUGCAAGUCGAACGAUGAAGCUCAGCUUGCUGGGUGGAUUAGUGGCGAACGGGUGAGUAACACGUGAGUAACCUGCCCUUAACUCUGGGAUAAGCCUGGGAAACUAGGUCUAAUACCGGAUAGGAGCGCCUACCGCAUGGUGGGUGUUGGAAAGAUUUAUCGGUUUUGGAUGGACUCGCGGCCUAUCAGCUUGUUGGUGAGGUAAUGGCUCACCAAGGCGACGACGGGUAGCCGGCCUGAGAGGGUGACCGGCCCCACUGGGGCUGAGACACGGCACAGACUCCUACGGGAGGCAGCAGUGGGGAAUAUUGCACAAUGGGCGAAAGCCUGAUGCAGCGACGCCGCGUGAGGGAUGACGGCCUUCGGGUUGUAAACCUCUUUCAGUAGGGAAGAAGCGAAAGUGACGGUACCUGCAGAAGAAGCACCGGCUAACUACGUG